AAUUAAUUCUCCACAUGAUGGGGAUAAGUAUGUAAAUCAAGUCAGAAGACAAAAUAUACACACCAGAGGAAGAGAUCAUAUAUUGGAAAAAAUUGUGGGAUUACAAUAGUUGAUAUUACAGGAGGAAUAACAUCCAAAUGUAAUGCACAAUCUAAAUAUUCUCUUAACAGCAAAACUUAAACUGACAACAUCCAUCAACAUCCCUACAACUUAACUAAAACUUAACCGAGGAACAACAUCCCUACAACCUAACUAAAACUGAAAACAAACAUCAUCGUCAUCAUCGUGAACCAGAACAUCAUAAUCAUCAUCAUUGUAGUAUACUUGCCAUGCACCCAUGAUUGUUCAUAUAUUUUUUGAAUCUACAAAGAAAAUAACAAAAUGAACCGUUAAUACACAAUACAUUGACAUGAUGCAAAUAGUGACAGGUUGCCCAGCAAAUAAGAAACAUUACUUCUUACAAAGGGUCAUUACUUCUGAAACAUUGGUUGCCCGGCUAGAUUACGACUAUUACAAAGAAAAGUUGUGACCUGAAAGUAUUCAGUUACAACUCAAUAUACUACUUCAGGUCACAAAACAAAGAUAUACAGACUCAGAGAAAAAUAAAUAGAUUUGGUUGUGGCCUAAAAGCAAGACACUAAUAACAUAGGACCUACUUAAGUUGAAGGGUUAAAAGCACAAUAGACACUGCUCAUAUGGAACAGGGAAAGCGACAUAAUGGGAAAUUCAGCAAUGUACGAACCGUGAAAGCAAGAGUUCAUGUGGGUAAUUCAGCAAUUUAUUAAUCAAAGUGGUGGGAGCUCAGUGGUCAGUUUAGCAAUGUACGAAUCAAAAGGGCAAGAGCAUCUAAGAAGAACAUUACUUGCAUUUCCGUCUUCACAACAGUUAAGAUAUGGGGAUCAUAGACAAUUACCAGAACUAUGACUAUGAACACUGCCGUAUCUUGGACAAAUCUACUAGCAGCUCCAGCCGUCCAAGGUGUUGGCCUCCAUCUCGAUAGUGCCGGAACGGAUGAGUGUGGCACCUCACAUUAAAUUACACACAACAAUAGGUACAUCAUUGGGAAGUACAUAAAUAGUUAAAUAAGAGCAGAAAGGGAGGCUGAAAAAUGGUUAGAGCUAAUCUAAGCAAUGAAGGAAUAAACAAAUAAUCACCACAACGGAAAUAGUCUUAGUUGAAGGUAAAACUCAGUGAUGUACUAUGAAUGUAGAGACUGGCACAUUGAAAGGCACUGAAUGGCAUUGAGUAUUUCUUUCUUUGGAAACCUGCGCACAAACAAACAGUGAGCCUCUACUUAACGAAUGACAAACAUGAUGCACAAACAAACAGUGAGCUUCUACUUAACGAAUGACAAACAUGAUGAUUAACAGUGAGCCGCUCCCGGUGUAUAUGUGUGUGUGCUUGCUGCGAGCCUUAGUAUAUGCAUGUUUGUACAUUAAAAUGCAUAAAGCUCAGGUGUAGGUUGCAUCUAAGUGAGGUACUGGGAUUCAGUUUUAUUUUCACUAUGAUGUACAGCGGUAGUAGAUUAGUACCUUUUUUUAGAUUAGUAGAUCAGUACUUGAUAUAGAUGAAUCCUCUGCGUUGACUUGACCCAAGUGCAUAUAUAAUAACUGCAUGCUAUGAGAGGACAAUCACAUAAACAAAUGACAAGAAAAUGUGUACUAUCUUAUGGUGAGUUUUUAGAUGAAGAGGCUAGCAAGACCAAGGAAUUUAACUGGGGAGUUGCAUAAUAGCAUUUCAAACCGAAGGAAGAGAAGGACGUCAUGUAUCGAAAUAUAAUUGGAAACUAACAGUCAGUGGUGGAGCUACAAACAAAAACCUGGGCGGGCCAAAUUAAAAGGAACACGAAUAUUUCAACUCAAGCGAUGGAUGAAGAGCUGCUGCUGAUAAAUCUUUCUCAACUUUACAUCUCUUUUUCUCUUGAAAACCAAAUUGAUUCUGCGUUGAUUAGCCUUGCUUUCCACGACAAUUAUCUAGUACCAAAUUAAGAUGUGUAUUAUCAAUUUAUUGAAUUUCAAAGUGUUAUAACUUAUAACCUACAUUUUAUACGAAAAUUAGUAUUGUCCGAGAGACGAGAGUUUUGGGGGUGCGCAUGUGCUUGUGCAGUAGUGCUCGUCGUCUAGGUUGCUACUCGCCCGGGUGGCCACCGCUACAUGGGUCGCCCUUGGGCGUCCGCACCACUCGGCGCUGCUACUUGCUCCGGCGGUGCGACCGGUGACUCGACCUCCGCGGCUCCGCGCCACCUCUCUGGACCUCCCUGCGGCUGUACGUGUGGCUCGUGCCCUAUCGCCGUUCUGCUACUCUACUGGAUAGGAAGAGGAGUCAAGCAACAGAGGCCAGAGGCCAAGAAAUAAUCGUGAAGAAGCGAUGCUACAUGCAAACAAGGUAGUCGUGAGCUGGGCUACUCGUCUAUCUGUACUACUACAUGUAUGUUUACCCCAAGUGCUGGGCGGGCCAUGGCAUGCUUUUGCCUCACGAAGCUCCGCCAGUGGUAACAGUAUAUCACAUACUACAAGAAACAGUGUAUCAUUUGACAUGUUCAUGAAAUUGAAUGUUUGUUACACCGUAGCAACACACGAGUAUUUAGCUAGUAAUCCAAAUUGUGCAGAAUAGUAAGCGCAUACAACAAUCAGUACAUUAACAGGCAUGGAGAGAAGUAUUUAUCAGUGUUCUCUGAAUUCUGAAUCAUAUCAACAGCAUCAAAGCAACAUCAUAGAAGAAACAAUGUGGAUGAUUAAUUCACCUGCUCACUAAAACAAAGGUGUCCGUGCUUCCUCCAAAACAGGUCCACGUCCUCUAGUAUUUAAGCUGGACGUGAAAGCCACCAUUAGCAAGCUACUACCUCCACCUAAAUAACCUGACCAUCAGACUCCUGAAAAGUGUGAAAUUGCAACAAAAAACUUCGAUUAGUAACUCAUCAAAACUGCCAUACAGAGACGACCUAUUAAGACUGUGUCCCUCCUUAAAUAUUAUAACUCUUGCAAUAGACUAUUUAAUAUGGGGUACGCAUAUAUGAAGUAGUUCUUCUCUACAUCAAACAAAUUGAAAGGAUUAACGAGUCAUCUAUCAAGGAUUGAUGAGUUAGCAGCGUAUAAGAUUUUUAAAAAAAUUGAUUGAUGCACAAUUGAUAUAUAAUAAUUACUAAUUUAAUAGAAUAGCAAUCAGUGCAUGAACAACGGAGAUCGGAAGAGUCAGUCUGCAGGCAUAUCAGUGUUCGUCGCACAAGGGCCAAACUUUUCUGACAGGGAUUAGCUGCAAUAGAAUUGGGGUGCAUACCUAGACAUCUACACGAGAAGAGAAGAACAGAGGUUAGAGAAAGGGGAAGAGAGAGAGGACGAAGCCAGGGGAGGGUAUUCACUCACCGGACGAGAAAGACGACAUGGCCACUGGCGCCGGCGCCGGCGCCCGAAACCCUAGCCAUCGCGGGAAGGUCGCGGGUGGGCUUUGGUAGCCGCGGGCGCCAGAUCUAGCUGCAUGGGAGCGCGCCACGGUGUGAAGGGACCUCGGGCAUGGCGGGAUUCGCCGGAAGUCGCCUGAAUCAACCGCCGCAGGUGGCGCCACGAGGAGCUGCACUGAGAGAGAGAGAGAGAGAGAGAUGGGAUGUGAGAGGGAUGGGGUAGGUGGGGGAUGAGGCAGAUCCGGUAGCCUCAAGAGCAGCGAUAUGGGAGGAACGGAGGGGAGGGCCGGCGGCGAGGUGGGAGGACGAGGGUGACGAGGCGGUUAGUGGCGGCGAUUUGGGAGAGAUGAGGGGCAUCGAUGGCUUUGUUUCUCGCGU
rnacentral:lncRNA from 1 species